CCUUUCCCACUUGACUCAUCAGUGGGGGAUAUUGCACAAUGGGGGAAACCCUGAUGCAGCGACGCCGCGUGAGUGAAGAAGUAUUUCGGUACGUAAAGCUCUAUCAGCAGGGAAGAAUAAUGACGGUACCUGACUAAGAAGCCCCGGCUAACUACGUGCCAGCAGCCGCGGUAAUACGUAGGGGGCAAGCGUUAUCCGGAUUUACUGGGUGUAAAGGGAGCGUAGACGGCUGUGCAAGUCUGAAGUGAAAUGCCGGG
rnacentral:rRNA from 1 species